AUUGAACGCUGGCGGCAGGCCUAACACAUGCAAGUCGAACGAGUGGCGGAGGGGUGAGUAAAGUCCGGGAAACUGCCUGAUGGAGGGGGAUAACAACUGGAAACGGUAGCUAUUACCGCAUACCUUCGGACGUGCCCAUAUGGGCUUAGCUAGUUGGUGGGGUAACGGCUCACCAAGGCGACGAUCCCUAGCUGGUCUGAGAGGAUGACCAGCCACACUGGAACUGAGACACGGUCCAGACUCCUACGGGAGGCAGCAGUGGGGAAUAUUGCACAAUGGGCGCAAGCCUGAUACAGCCAUGCCGCGUGUAUGAAGAAGGCCUUCGGGUUGUAAAGUACUUUCAGCGGGGAAGCGUUACCCGCAGAAGAAGCACCGGCUAACUCCGUGCCAGCCGCCGCGGUAAUAC
rnacentral:rRNA from 1 species